rnacentral:rRNA from 1 species
GACGAACGCUGGCGGCGUGCUUAACACAUGCAAGUCGAACGGAAAGGCCCUGCUUUUGUGGGGUGCUCGAGUGGCGAACGUGUGAGUAACCCGUGAGUAACCUUCCCUGGACUUUGGGAUAACUUCAAGAAACUGGGGCUAAUACCGGCUAGGAGCUCCUGCUGCAUGGUGGGGGUUGGAAAUUUUCGGCGGAUGUGGAUGGACUCGGGGCUUAUCAGCUUGUUGGUGGGGUAGUGGCUUACCAAGGCUUUGACGGGUAGCCGGCCUGAGAGGGUGGCCGGCCACAUUGGGACUGAGAUAGGGCGCAGUCGCCUACGGGGGGCAGCAGGGGGGAAUAUUGCACAAUGGGCGGAAGCCUGAUGCGGCAACGCCCCGUGCGGGAUGAAGGCCUUCUGGUGGUAAACCGCUUUCGCCUGUGACGAAGCGGGAGUGACGGUAAUGGGUAAAGAAGCACCGGCUAACUACGUG